rnacentral:tmRNA from 1 species
GUCCUCGCUUUCCCUGCAAGUACGUGCUAACCCAUUGGAACGGCCGUAAUUCGGUUGAUGGAUCAAAGCGCGAGGACCCGGGGGCAGUACCCGGCGCCUCCACCAAAACUCCCGUUGGCACGGGUUUUGAUGGGGGCGAAACAGAAUCGACUGCGCCAAGAGAGAUCAGACGCGACCCGUUUGGUGGGCCCGUUAUGCCUGCAAGAACGCUAAAUGCGAACGACAACUCGCCAGUAAUGGCACAGGACCGUCUCGCCGCUUAAUUGCGGUGACGGUACGCGGCACGGGGAGCGCCGGGCAACAGAAGCUCCCCACU